rnacentral:rRNA from 1 species
GUGGGGAAUUUUGGGCAAUGGGCGCAAGCCUGACCCAGCAACGCCGCGUGAAGGACGAAAUCCCUCUGGGAUGUAAACUUCGAAAGUCAGGAAAGAAAUCCUCACGGGGAAUAUCCGUGAGGGAUGACGGUACCUGACGUAAGCCCCGGCUAACUACGUGCCAGCAGCCGCGGUAAUACGUAGGGGGCAAGCGUUGUUCGGAAUUACUGGGCGUAAAGGGCGCGUAGGCGGCACGGCAAGUCAGGAGUGAAAGGCCUGGGCUCAACCGAGGAACUGCUUUUGAGACUGCCGAGCUAGAGUGCGGAAGGGGCAACCGGAAUUCCCAGUGUAGCGGUGAAAUGCGUAGAUAUUGGGAAGAACACCUGAGGCGAAGGCGGGUUGCUGGGCCGACACUGACGCUGAGGCGCGAAAGCCAGGGGAGCAAACGGGAUUAGAAACCCUGGUAGUCC